rnacentral:rRNA from 1 species
CGCAAGCCUGAUGGCAGCCAUGCCGCGUGUAUGAAGAAGGCCUUACGGGUUGUAAAGUACGUUUCAGCAGUGAGGAAGGUGGGAUAUGUUAAUAGCAUAUCAUUUGACGUUAGCUGCAGAAGAAGCACCGGCUAACUCCGUGCCAGCAGCCGCGGUAAUACGGAGGGUGCGAGCGUUAAUCGGAAUUACUGGGCGUAAAGCGCAUGCAGGUGGUUUGUUAAGUCAGAUGUGAAAGCCCGGGGCUCAACCUCGGAAUUGCAUUUGAAACUGGCAAACUAGAGUACUGUAGAGGGGGGUAGAAUUUCAGGUGUAGCGGUGAAAAUGCGUAGAGAUCUGAAGGAAUACCGGUGGCGAAGGCGGCCCCCUCGGACAGAUACUGACACUCAGAUGCGAAAGCGUGGGGAGCAAACAGGAUUAGAUACCCUGGUAG